rnacentral:rRNA from 1 species
GUAGGUGGCAAGCGUUGUCCGGAAUUAUUGGGCGUAAAGCGCGCGCAGGGCGGUCCUUUAAGUCUGAUGUGAAAGCCCACGGCUCAACCGUGGUGGGUCAUUGGAAACUGGGGGACUUGAGUACAGAAGAGGAAAGCGGAAUUCCAAGUGUAGCGGUGAAAUGCGUAGAGAUUUGGAGGAACACCAGUGGCGAAGGCGGCUUUCUGGUCUGUAACUGACGCUGAGGCGCGAAAGCGUGGGGAGCAAACAGGAUUAGAUACCCUGGUAGUCCACGCCGUAAACGAUGAGUGCUAAGUGUUAGGGGGUUUCCGCCCCUUAGUGCUGCAGCUAACGCAUUAAGCACUCCGCCUGGGGAGUACGGCCGCAAGGCUG